rnacentral:rRNA from 1 species
AUGCAAGAGGUGUUCACCAUGGUUGGGUUUGGUCAGUUCAGCUGCCAGCCGGGCCCCUUCUGCCAGGGCCCCAACAACACCCGGCUGGGCACGAGCAUGAACAACGUGUCGUUCCAGCUCCCCAGCACCGUCUCCUUGUUGCUACAGGCGCACUACGGCCGCAUCCCCGGCGUCUUCACCGACGACUUCCCGGCUCGCCCGCCGGUGGCCUUCGACUACACCUCACAGAACGUCCCCCGCAUGCUGUGGCAACCGGUCAAGGGCACGAGGCUGUACCGCGUCAAGUACGGUGUCGUGGUGCAGAUGGGUCAAGUACGGUGCCGUGGUGCGGAUGGUGUUCCAGGACACAGGACACGGGCAUCUUCGCGGCGGAGGAGCACCCCAUGUACAUCCACGUGUACCACUUCUACGUGCUCGCCACGGGGUUGGGCAACUACGACCCGAGGCGGGACGCGCGCAGGCAGGUUCAACAUGGUCGACCCGCCCAGCCGGAACACCAUGGGCGUGCCCGUCGGCGGCUGGGCCGUGGUGCGCUUCGUGGCGGACAACCCGGGGGUGUGGCUCGUGCACUGCCACAUCGAUGCGCAUCUCUCCGGCGGGCUUGCCAUGGCACUGCUGGUGGAGGACGGCAAGACGAAGCUCGAGGCCACGGUGCCGCCCCCGCUUGACCUGCCCGUCUGUGGCCUCUAA